GAUUUCCCAUAAUGCUAUGCGACGCUUGAAAGCACGAUGGCCGACCACACUCCGAGUCGUCAUGAGAAAAGUUUAGGAUUGCUAACAACUAAAUUUGUAUCACUUCUUCAAGAAGCAAAGGAUGGAGUAUUGGAUCUUAAAGUCGCGGCAGAUCAGUUAGCUGUACGUCAAAAGAGGAGGAUAUAUGACAUCACCAAUGUCUUGGAAGGCAUCGGGCUAAUUGAAAAGAAGUCCAAGAACAGCAUUCAGUGGAAAGGUGCUGGGCCAGGAUGCAACACCAGGGAGAUCUCAGACAGACUUGUCACACUACAGAAUGAUAUUGACGACCUCGAACGUCAAGAGAGGGAACUUGACCAGCACAAACUUUGGGUGCAGCAGAGUAUAAAGAAUGUCACAGACGAAGUUACAAAUACCAGAUUGGCAUUUGUGACACAUGAAGACACGUGUAAGUGUUUCAAGGGGGACACGCUUCUUGCCAUCCAGGCACCAUCGGGAACACAGCUAGAAGUUCCCAUUCCAGAAAUUGGUCCAGGGUAUAAGAAGAACUACCAGAUCCAUCUAAAGAGCCACGCAGGUCCUAUCAAUGUCCUACUUGUCAACAAAGAUGCUGAUUCAACAAGUCCUGUCGUUGUGCAAGUGCCACCACCCAAAGAUGACUCUGCUGAAAACCCAUCCAAUCAAAACGUGGACCCUACUACACAGGGGACGUACAGGUCAAAGGUCACAAGGAAAGCGGUCUCCAGUGAAGUCGCCACUAAAGCAGACACAGCAGGCCAGUCUAGAGACAACAGCCCCCAUUACCAGAAUGGCAACACGAUCGUCACCAAGGAAAAACUCACAGGAGCAAAUUCCACAAGCUUCCACAUCUACCUCCACAAGCAGCUUCCCAACAACACCAAGUGGCCUUGACUCUCUUCCAUCUGAUAUGCUCUUUGACCCCUCACGGAGCGACUACGAUGUUGAUGGCUCUUUCAUUGAUGACCUCAUUACUUCAGAAGCAUUUGCUCCCCUUCUCCGCCUGAGUCCGCCACCAAGUGAUCGGGAUUACUACUUCAACCUUGAUGACACUGAGGGAGCCUGUGAUCUCUUCGAUGUGCC
rnacentral:misc_RNA from 1 species